rnacentral:rRNA from 1 species
CCUACGGGAGGCAGCAGUAGGGAAUCUUCCACAAUGGGCGAAAGCCUGAUGGAGCAACGCCGCGUGGGUGAAGAAGGUCUUCGGAACGUAAAACCCUGUUGUUAGAGAAGAAAGGGCGUGAGAGUAACUGUUCACGUUUCGACGGGAUCUAACCAGAAAGCCACGGCUAACUACGGGCCAGCAGCCGCGGUAAUACGUAGGUGGCAAGCUUUAUCCGGAUUUAUUGGGCGUAAAGGGAACGCAGGUGGUCUUUUAAGUGUGAUGUGAAAGGCUUCGGCCUAACCGGGGUAGUGCAGUGGAAACUGGGAGGCUUGAGUGCAGAAGAGGGAAGUGGAACUCCAUGUGUAGCGGUGAAAUGCGUAGAUAUAUGGAAGAACACCAGUGGCGAAGGCGGCUCUCUGGUCUGUAACUGACGCUGAGGUACGAAAGCGUGGGUAGCGAACAGGAUUAGAUACCCCGGUAGUC